rnacentral:rRNA from 1 species
UACGUAGGGGCGAGCGUUGUCCGGAAUUAUUGGGCGUAAAGGGUUCGUAGGCGGUUAAAUAAGUCAGGUGUGAAAGCCAUAGGCUCAACCUAUGUAAGCACUUGAAACUGUAUAACUUGAGUUAAGGAGAGGAAAGUGGAAUUCCUAGUGUAGCGGUGAAAUGCGUAGAUAUUAGGAGGAACACCGGUGGCGAAGGCGGCUUUCUGGACGAUAACUGACGCUGAGGCGCGAAAGCGUGGGGAGCAAACAGGAUUAGAUACCCUGGUAGUCCCUGAGCGGGCU